GACCAAGAAAACAGGACCGCCGUCAACGACGCGUCCUAAGAACAAGGCUGAACGCAACUAAAGCCUAAGCAACAAACUCAUAAACCCGGAGAUAACGGGUUA
rnacentral:rRNA from 1 species